rnacentral:lncRNA from 1 species
GCAAGAGUGGGCUAGCAACGCCUCUGUUUCCCAGAAACACCUCCCCUCUGACCCAGGCUUUGCUGACAUCCUCACUUAUGGUGCUGACUUGGGACUUGGGGCUGAAGCACGGUUGCGUCUAUGUGCUUCACGUCCCCUACAGUGAGGCUCUUUUCUGCUUUCCGGGACUCACUGGUUGAAUCUCUCCAGCCUGUGAUGGAUGAUCUGACCUCCUUUUUACAGUUUGGGUCAAUUGGAAGCACAGCAUGGUCAGGACACUGGCUCAAGGUCACACAGCUGGUGAAUUGUGGAGCUGGAAAUUAAUCUUAGACAGUCAGUCCCCACAGUCCACACUGUGGACCAAAGGGAGUCACAUAGUCUUCAGGAGAAAGCAAAAAAGAGUUCCUAGCAGCUGAAUUCACCACAGUCCAAAAUUGUGAGAACCCAAGUGGCCACCUAUAGACAAAUGAAAGAAAACAUUGGGUCUUGGCAGAUGGAAGUCUACACAGCCAAGAAAAAAAAACAAACUAUCAAAUCAUGAAACAACAUGCACGUAUCUCCUAGAAGAGUAAAGGCCUUCAGACAUCCAGAACACACCCCUAAGACUGGCUUUGGUGUUUUUCCAUUCCAAGAACCAAUCUUGAAGGGGGGCUCCGAGUGGGGAUUGACAUGGAGGAGGAUCAAGGACAUCUUCAGUGUCCUGAGAUGUUUUCACUCUUCUCCGAGAGGAGGCUGGAGGUAUGCUCUCAUCGAUAAAAGUGUCCUGAGACAUGGAUUGAAGACUUGCACCUUGUACUGGAGGAGUGUUAUGUUCAAUUUAGAAAUUAAAAACACGUGCACAGGUUAUGAUGAAAUACUGGAUUUGCUGCCUUAUUUUUAAUAUUUACAUAGG